rnacentral:rRNA from 1 species
GAUGAACGCUAGCGGCAGGCCUAAUACAUGCAAGUCGGACGGGAUUCAGGAGCUUGCUUCUGAUGAGAGUGGCGCACGGGUGCGUAACACGUAUGUAACCUACCUUUAUCAGGGGGAUAGCCUCUCGAAAGAGAGAUUAAGCCCGCAUAAAAUCACAGCACAGCAUUGUGUAAUGAUCAAAUAUUUAUAGGAUAAAGAUGGGCAUGCGGAACAUUAGCUAGAUGGCGGGGUAACGGCCCACCAUGGCGACGAUGUUUAGGGGAUCUGAGAGGAUGGCCCCCCACACUGGUACUGAGACACGGACCAGGCUCCUACGGGAGGCAGCAGUAAGGAAUAUUGGUCAAUGGGCGGAAGCCUGAACCAGCCAUGCCGCGUGCAGGAAGACGGCCCUACGGGUUGUAAACUGCUUUUAUAUGGGAAUAAACCCAGAUACGUGUAUCUGGCUGAAUGUACUGUAAGAAUAAGGAUCGGCUAACUCCGUG